rnacentral:snRNA from 1 species
GGAUGUGAGAGUAAGCUAGCUAAGGCUCCUAUAACCCUAUGGGUGACCAGAGUUGAUUCAGGUGAUCUGGCUGUCUGUUGGAGUCCCCUUUGCCUUACAUUCCAUGAAGCUGUGUAUUUUCUCAGAGAGAAACUUCAGAGAGAGAAAAGCCUUCAUAUGAACAAGGGAAUACAAAUCUCGUGCCUCUCCAAAGCCCCCAAACGAGCUCAGACCAAUCUGUCGUUUAUAUUAAGUAGAGCAAGAAUAUUUACUGAGUCUCUUAAAAUUCUUGGCACCUUAUGGGUAAGACCUUGUUUUAAGA